rnacentral:lncRNA from 1 species
GGGACAGAAGAAAAGUGAUGAGGAAGCAUCACUGGACACCACUGCGGGGAAGCAGCAACUUCAAACUUGGUAGAGGAGAGACUCAGGGGCAGCACCUCAAGGCCUGUCCACAGGCGGGGGCAGGAAAACAGUGCUGGAAACAUGUGAGGGGGAAAACGACGCCGCUCCCCACCUGACCCUGCCUGGGUCAGAGGUCACUAGGGGCUGCUGAUGCCAGUGACCUCAGACUUCCACCUCUGUGCCUCCAAACCUCACCCCAGGAGAUGUCAGGAGCCAAAGAGCUCCCCAAGCCAAGAUUCUGGAGAAGGCGGCCCUGGCCAGAACCGUGUGCUUCUGACGCCCCUGCAGGGCAGCUGGAAAGGGGACAGGGAAGCCAAGGCCGGUCCAGCCCCGGGAACAGGGAGAUGGCAUGUGGAGCCUGACAAAGAGCGUGGGCUUUAUUGUUCAUUCAUGAUUAGAAAAGUG